rnacentral:rRNA from 1 species
AUUGAACGCUGGCGGCAUGCCUUACACAUGCAAGUCGAACGGCAGCGGGGGAGAAGCUUGCUUUUCCUGCCGGCGAGUGGCGAACGGGUGAGUAAUACAUCGGAACGUGCCCUGUAGUGGGGGAUAACUAGUCGAAAGAUUAGCUAAUACCGCAUACGACCUGAGGGUGAAAGUGGGGGACCGCAAGGCCUCAUGCUAUAGGAGCGGCCGAUGUCUGAUUAGCUAGUUGGUGGGGUAAAGGCCUACCAAGGCGACGAUCAGUAGCUGGUCUGCGAGGACGAUCAGCCACACUGGGACUGAGACACGGCCCAGACUCCUACGGGAGGCAGCAGUGGGGAAUUUUGGACAAUGGGCGAAAGCCUGAUCAAGCAAUGCCGCGUGUGUGAAGAAGGCCUUCGGGUUGUAAAGCACUUUUGUCCGGAAAGAAAUGGCUCUGGUUAAUACCUGGGGUCGAUGACGGUACCGGAAGAAUAAGGACCGGCUAACUACGUGCCAGCAGCCGCCGUAA